rnacentral:siRNA from 1 species
AAGGCAGAUAGAGAUUACCGGAUC